GAUGAACGCUGGCGGUAUGCUUAACACAUGCAAGUCGAACGGUCUUUUCGGAGACAGUGGCGGACGGGGUGAGUAACGCGUAAGAAUCUACCUUCAGGUCGGGGACAACCACUGGAAACGGUGGCUAAUACCGGAUGUGCCGAGAGGUGAAAGGCUUGCUGCCUGAAGAAGAGCUUGCGUCUGAUUAGCUAGUUGGUGGUGUAAGAGACUACCAAGGCGACGAUCAGUAGCUGGUCUGAGAGGAUGAUCAGCCACACUGGGACUGAGACACGGCCCAGACUCCUACGGGAGGCAGCAGUGGGGAAUAUUGGACAAUGGGCGAAAGCCUGAUCCAGCAAUGCCGCGUGAGUGAUGAAGGCCUUAGGGUUGUAAAGCUCUUUACCCGGGAUGAUAAUGACAGUACCGGGAGAAUAAGACUCCGGCUAAACUCCGUGCCAGCAGCCGCGGUAAAGUGACUACUG
rnacentral:rRNA from 1 species